rnacentral:rRNA from 1 species
UGGGGAAUAUUGCACAAUGGAGGGAACUCUGAUGCAGCGACGCCGCGUGAACGAAGAAGGCUUUCGAGUCGUAAAGUUCUUUUAUAUGGGAAGAUAAUGACGGUACCAUAAGAAAAAGCCCCGGCUAACUACGUGCCAGCAGCCGCGGUAAUACGUAGGGGGCUAGCGUUGUCCGGAAUCACUGGGCGUAAAGGGUUCGCAGGCGGAAAUGCAAGUCAGGUGUAAAAGGCAGUAGCUUAACUACUGUAAGCAUUUGAAACUGCAUAUCUUGAGAAGACUAGAGGUAAGUGGAAUUUUUAGUGUAGCGGUGAAAUGCGUAGAUAUUAAAAAGAAUACCGGUGGCGAAGGCGACUUACUGGGCUCAUUCUGACGCUGAGGAACGAAAGCGUGGGUAGCAAACAGG